UAACAAGGAUUCCCUCAGUAACGGCGAGUGAAGCGGGAAGAGCUCAAAUUUAAAAUCUGGUUUGCUUGCAAGCCCGAGUUGUAGUCUGAAGAAACGUUUUCCAUAAGCACUGAGGCAAAAGUCUUGGAACAGGGCAUCAUAGAGGGUGAGAAUCCCGUCCAUGGUCUCAAGUCGUUUAUUUUGUGAUACGUUUUCAAAGAGUCAGGUUGUUUGGGAAUGCAGCCUAAAAUGGGUGGUAAAUUUCAUCUAAAGCUAAAUAUUGGCGAGAGACCGAUAGCGAACAAGUACCGUGAGGGAAAGAUGAAAAGAACUUUGAAAAGAGAGUUAAAAAGUACGUGAAAUUGUUGAAAGGGAACCGUUUGAAGCCAGUCUUACUUGCCUGUGAUCAAUUUUUGCUUCGGCAUGAAUGCACUCUCGGGUAUGGUAGGCCAACGACAGUUUGGAAUGCGAGAAAAAAAUAGGGGAAAUGUGGCCUUCGGGUGUUAUAGUCCCUUAUAAAAUAUCGUGUUCUGGACUGAGGAUCGCAGCAAAAAUGUGGGCAGGUGGAUUUCUGUGGUAACUGUCGGUUAGGACAACUUGUUGACCUAGUCUUCCUUAGCCUCACUAUUUACCUCGCUUCUAAUUUGCUUAGGUCGUUGGCAUAAUGGCUUUAAAUGA
rnacentral:rRNA from 1 species